GACAAGCUGCUGGAAGCCUUUUCUCCACACUGGUGUACUGAGCUGUUCACCUCCACUAGAGGGCCACAUCAUCAAGUAGGCGGUGCACGACUUCUGCACUGUGUUCAACCAUUCAGUCAAUAAUAAGUGCUGCUGUGAAGAGAACAAUCCUCACCCUGAAUGCUGAGCAUCAGCUACUUCCUGCUGCUGAUUUAAACCUUGUUGUAGAGAUGGAACAUUGGCUGUGGAUUAUUCUUGCUGCUCUCUCCUUUGAGUGUAAAGGACAAGACACAGUGACCCAGCCAGCAGGAGAAGUGAGCGCUGCUGAAGGAGACACACUUACACUUGACUGCACAUUUAAGACCUCUGACAGAAAUUACUAUCUGUUCUGGUACAAACAAGAACACGGGAGCAGCAGCCCCACAUUCAUCCUGAGCCGCUUUAAGAUCGGCACGGGGAAAACAGAGGAGGAGGACAGAUUCUCUUCCACACUGGAUUCAAGCUUAAGAUCCGUUCCUCUGAAGAUCCAGAAGCUUCAGCUGUCUGACUCUGCUGUGUACUACUGUGCUCUGAGGCCCACAGUGACAGGAAACACCAACACUCUGUACAAAAACCUUUGGAGCAAAGACAACACAAUACUGCUCAUCCUCCCCCAGAGGGAGCCUCUCUCUGAUAGACUCCAUAGGUUGUGAUGAUACAGUAAUGUGAUUUACCUGCUUUAUAAUUGAACAUCAAUGAACAAUUCUCCACUACCAUACAAACAAAUGUACUGCCUCUGAUUCACAUCCACAGGUUCUGAUGUUUGACUCAAUCCGUUUGG